rnacentral:rRNA from 1 species
UGGGGAAUCUUCCGCAAUGGACGAAAGUCUGACGGAGCAACGCCGCGUGAGUGAAGAAGGCCUUCGGGUCGUAAAGCUCUGUUAUUAGGGAAGAACGUGUUAUGUGUAAAUAAUGCAUAGCAGUGACGGUACCUAAGGAGGAAGCCACGGCUAACUACGUGCCAGCAGCCGCGGUAAUACGUAGGUGGCGAGCGUUGUCCGGAAUUAUUGGGCGUAAAGCGCGCGCAGGGGGGAUCAUAAGUCUUUUGUAAAAGUGCGGGGCUCAACCCCGUAAAGCGACGGAUACUGUGAUUCUUGAGUGCAGGAGAGGAAAGCGGAAUUCCCAGUGUAGCGGUGAAAUGCGUAGAUAUUGGGAGGAACACCAGUGGCGAAGGCGGCUUUCUGGACUGUGUCUGACACUGAGGCGCGAAAGCUAGGGGAGCGAACG